AGGGUUCAAGUCCCUGUUCGGGCG
rnacentral:piRNA from 10 species